GUACUUUCAGGAGAAGGAAAAAGCUUUUCCCUUUUUAAAUUUGGAAGGCAGAAAACACGAGAGGGCUACAGGCAAAAAAAUGGGAACUGAAUUAAAACACUUCUGACUUCUGGCGCUCACCCAGAGUAAAUGAACAGUGUGCAUGCACUCUGAAAAGAUAGAAAAUGCCAUAUAUAUAUUUACAUUUGAUGUGAUGGGUGCAGAGUGGUGGUUGCUCCCAGCCAGGUCAUUUCAAUAACAACAGGAGACUACAGUUCCUGCUGAAUGGCAUCUUUCAGGCUGAAGAGCUUCCGCAGUCUCUCCACUUCCAUACUGAUUAGAAGUGCUUGAGAUACAUCAUAACAGUGUCAGUGCAGUGUUUAUGGGGGAAAUUGUCGCUGUCUCUCGCUUGUGGAAGGUGACAUAAUGGGAUUUCUUCCCUUUGUCCUGGUGACAGGAUGAUGAGCACUGUCUGGGCUCCAGUUCGGCGGGCUUUGCCAUUCAGGCAUCCAGCGCAGCUGACAAGCCCGAGGAUCGAUGGAGCAGACACUGUCCAAUUCAGCUUUCUGUCCUCAUUACCUGACACACAAAGUUUACCAUCAAUGGGCUCAGAUAAUCUUUAAUACAUUGUGGUAAGUGCUAUUGUUUAUUCACUAGACAAAUAUUUAUUCAGCAUCUGCUUCAUGGUCUUGCUGGGCCCUGAAGAUCUAGGGGUGAAACAGGUGGAGUCUCUCCUCUCCCAGAGUUUAAGGUGCACCGAAAGGUAUCAUGCAAUUACACGAAGGCAAGAAACGUGCUAUGAUGGGAGAGGCCAGGGGAUAGAACGGGGGC
rnacentral:lncRNA from 10 species